rnacentral:rRNA from 1 species
GUUGAACGCUGGCGGCAGGCCUAACACAUGCAAGUCGAAUGGUAACAGGAAACAGCUUGCUGUUUCGCUGACGAGUGGCGGACGGGUGAGUAAUGUCUGGGAAACUGCCUGAUGGAGGGGGAUAACUACUGGAAACGGUAGCUAAUACCGCAUAACGUCGCAAGACCAAAGAGGGGGACCUUCGGGCCUCUUGCCAUCAGAUGUGCCCAGAUGGGAUUAGCUAGUAGGUGGGGUAACGGCUCACCUAGGCGACGAUCCCUAGCUGGUCUGAGAGGAUGACCGGCCACACUGGAACGGAGACACGGUCCAAACCCCAACGGGAGGCAGCAGUGGGGAAUAUUGCACAAGGGGCGCAAGCCUGAUGCAGCCAUGCCGGGGGGAUGAAGAAGGCCUUCGGGUUGUAAAGUACUUUCAGCGGGGAGGAAGGGAGUAAAGUUAAUACCUUUGCUCAUUGACGUUACCCGCAGAAGAAGCACCGGCUAACUCCGU